rnacentral:lncRNA from 1 species
AAGAGUAUCGAUCUAUCGCAGAAGGCCAAGUGUAUCAAGCCGUAUGAGCAAAUAAAAGUAAAAAAAAAAGCAAAGUAAAAAGUAAAUUCCCUUACGAAUAAAGUAGGACGGUGAGAAACCACACCAGCGUUGGAGAAAAAACAAGGUUCAGAGCAGGCAUGUAAAGUAGCAGUACGUAAAGAUAAAAGAAAAGACGCUAUCUCGCCAACAGGAGAGUUCACAAAAAAAGCUGCAACACAAAGGCAGUUCAAUUACAAAGGAUCAUCACACAAAAGACAACGCGUCCCGUAAGGAAAAAAUUUC